UACGUAGGGGGCAAGCGUUGUCCGGAAUCAUUGGGCGUAAAGCGCGUGUAGGCGGUUCGAUAAGUCUGCUGUGAAAGUCCAGGGCUCAACCCUGGGAUGCCGGUGGAUACUGUCGAGCUAGAGUACGGAAGAGGCGAGUGGAAUUCCUGGUGUAGCGGUGAAAUGCGCAGAUAUCAGGAGGAACACCAAUUGCGAAGGCAGCUCGCUGGAACGUAACUGACGCUGAGACGCGAAAGCGUGGGGAGCAAACAGG
rnacentral:rRNA from 1 species